GGCGGGCGGAGUUGGAGGCGGGGCGGCUGCCGGAAGGUUUGGAAGGCGCUGGGAGUUCUGAGGAGAGCCGCGUUCACUUCCUGUUGCCUGUGAAUCAAGAACUCUCCGCUCCUUCUCCAGGAUCAUGUCUGCUUGCAUGCCUACCAUGCUUCUGGCCAUGAAAAUAAUGGACUAAACCUCUGAACUGCUGCAGUCCAACUCAUCCUAUUGCCUAUGAAUGGAAGGUCUAAGAAUUCAGAAGCUGGUCAGUCCAUGAGGCUGGAUGUCUCAGCCGGUCUUCAGUAUACACCAGAAUCCUGAAAAAGUAGGCUCUAAUGCCAGUUAAGGGAUGGACUUGCUAGCAGGCAAGAACAAGCAGGCAAAGAGCAAAAGCUUCCAUCUUCCAUGCCCUUAUAUAGGCUUCCAGUAGAAGGUGUAGCCCAGAUUAGAGGUGGGUUUUCCCAGAACAAAAGAUCUGGAAUAAAGGUGUGUCUUCCUAUUUUAAAGUUUCAGAUUAGAAGUGGGACUUCCUACUUCAGAUUAAGCAAAAAUCUUUCACAAGUAUGCCCUCCAUUUGGGGACUUUAGUUAAUUCCAGAUGUUGCAUAAUAUUAGUUUAAGAUAUAUUACAUUCAUUUAUGCUGUGGAAUAUUUGUUUAAUGAUAUAAAGAGGUAUUGCAUCCUU